AAUACAGAUGGCGGCAAAAAAAAAAAAAAAAAACACUCCAAACCUAAUAACCCCCCCCCCCCCCAUCACCCUACCCCCAACCAACCAAAAUAAAUAAACUCUUCCGACCCAGUGUUUCGCUUUUGGCCUUCGGGCUCCGGCUUCGGCCGUAGCACCGAUCGCUAUAUCUUCACCAUUGAUUCCGUUGUAACGUUGUUUGAAUUCGUGAUUUUGAUGAUGUAUAGAGUUAACGCUGGUAGCAGAUUUUCCAUAUCACGGGUUCUUCAAGUGGCUAUCUGAAGUUUGUGAAGAUUUGUGGCAAUAAUUUAUGACUUGCUUGAAGGAUAGUCUAUUUUGCUGAUAGGGAAGUGCAGUCUAGCAAUGAGAGGUCGUGGGGCUCUUGACUCUCGAUCAAAUCCCCUUACACAGACAAAUCCUGUAAAAUGACAUUUGCAAGGUAAAACAUCAAACAAGAGCUCAGGAACUUACACUGAAUGUUCUGUCCGUAAGCGGCUGACAUUUUUCAGCUUUGGAGUAGGAAUUGAAGCCGCAUCUGGAUGCAAGGCCACCAGAGCCUUGGAGAAGUCACCUUCUGUGUUAUUCUCUUGUAAAAUAGUCUCCAAAUUGGUUGUGAACUCUUUCAUGUUGAGUUUAAUUGUUGGAAUAUCAUCGGAAUCCUCAAAAAAUCCAUCCUCAAUGUCGCUUGCUAAUAGGUCUGGCAAUGGAUCCGGUGUUUUUGGUUCCUCAAUAGUAGGUUCACAGAUGGUGGUAAUGAGUGUUGUUUCUCUAUCUAAUAAGUUGGUCAUCUCUUGAGGAAUUGACAAUGGCCCUUUUAGGAAAAAAGGGAAGUUAUCAGCUUCAACUGGAGCACACGGGUGCAUCCUUCUUCCUUCAGCUGUGGGUGGUAAUAGCAUAGGUAUGACUGCGGCAACUGCAUUUCCCUCACCAGAGAUUGGAACUGCUGAACUCACUAUACUCUUCUCUUCUGGGCCAGGAAGGGCCAGUCUUGCACUGCAGAUUUUGGUAUAUCAGGAUUACCUUCUUGUCCUUUAGCAACGGCUUCUGAAUGGUUUACUGACUGUCGGAUGCAAGCGCUUUUUAGUUCUGAGACCAUUGCCAUCUCCUUUUGAUAGGAACUUGCAGAAUGUUGGUUAUUUGAAUUGUGAGGUUGCCUUCGCAAAUUUCUCAUCUGUCCUCUGUGUUCUGCAAAUGCAUAUUCUCCCAUCCUGGGUGCAUGAAUAACGGGAGGUGUGGUUUGCUGAGCUAUCAAAUUACUCGAAUUUCCUGCUAUCUGUUUCACACUUUUGCUCAUGAAAUCUACUCCUUUUGCUGCAUUGAGUUGUGGAGUUAUUGAAGUCAAAGAGGCGGGAAUUUCUUUCUCAUGGCAUGCUAUUUCAUGUUUUCCAAAUUCUGGUGUCUUGGUCAACCAGGAAUUCCUGGCAGUUCUUACUGAUAUUUCUUGAACCCGAACACGGGGGUUGAUUGGAAAGCCAUGUAAACAUGUCUCUGCAUCAAGAUUUUGUUUAUGCCUGGUAUCCUCUACAGUUUCUGUCUUCUGAUUCCCAACGAAGGACAACUUUUCUGUAAGUAUGUUCCUCAUAAAGUGACUCUGAUAGUUCUGGAAUGCAGCAGUCCACUUUGUCAUUGGAGAAUGGUUUGCUCGAGUGCUGUUUAUGUUCAAGUUGGGCGAACUUGGUUGCUCUUCACAUUCUGAGUCGGAUCCGGAGCUUGACCUGAGUUCUUCAUUGGCUUGAAGAAAAUGAGAGUCGGGAGAGUUUUGUAUUGAAAUGACUUCCUCGUCUGUUCUCCUGUUGUGCUCACUUACUAAAUAAGCUCUGGUUGUUUGAGGGUGAUUUUCGAUUCUGUGUUGUGGUCUAGCUUUAUGAUAUAUGGUAGUCCCAUUUGGAUCUAUUAUUUCAACUUCUGGUUCCUCCACUACUAUGUUACACCGGCCUUGGGAGAGGGUAUUUUUGGUGCUUGUUGGCUGCAAGGGGAACUUGGCUGCAAGGCACAUGAAAGCAGAGCUGCAAGAAAGGACAAUAUGUUACUGAAUUAUCAACUUCUAUAUUUAAUUAGAUUGACUAUGCUCUUCUGAUGGUAUCCGACCAUCAAAUACCUUGAGAGAUGAUCUGAAACAUUUUGAGUGAGGAACACUCCUAUUACUGAGUCGACUACAGAUCCCUUCCAAGGUGAGAACCUCCUAUCCCCUGCAAAGCUCAAAUUAUUUGUCUAGUGGGAGUUGAUAACAUCAAUAUUAAUAAUACAAGACAGAUAUGUGUGGUUGUGGAGACGAAAGGUUUAUAGUAUUCUUUGUUACCUUGAACAAGGCGCAUUCGUGCGACAAAAGAGUCUACCCGUCCAUGGACAAUUUUCCUUUCAUCUUCCCACCAUUUUUCCCUGUCCUUGUCCAUUGGCUCUGCCCUUCCUUCCUCCCACAUUAAGAAGUUCCAUUCUCUGAUUGUCUCCAAGUCAAUGUCCACACUAGGCCGUGGUUUACGCCUUUUGGUAGGAUCAAAUCCCUCAUAUGGGAUAAUUGUGCCAACUCCAUUGUAUGGAACAAGGGCCUUUUGCUCCUCUUGAGCAGCAUUUUUCUUGCUAUAACCAAUAACAAGGCGUUCCAAUUGUUGUGUGAUUAUAUCGACUGACACAGCAUAUCUGCGUGUUCCUUGUAAGCCUGUGUGACAGAAAGUUUGUAGCGGUUGGAAUCUAACCAGGCGUUUGGACAUAAGAAUAGAUGUGAUAUUAUUUGAAAUUAAGCUGAAAAUUGUAUUUGGAAAUUGAAGUUGUGCUUGGUGAUUUUUGUUGACCAGUUUCUCAAUUAUUGAAAGAAAAAGGAAAAACUCAUCUUCAGAUUUUUUUCGACAAAUCAGCCCAGUAUAUAACCAGCAAUGUUUUGAUUUUCUUUUUUUUUCUAAAGAAAAUAUUUUAUGGACAAACGACCCCCAUCAUAAUUCUUCAUACGUAGUUUAAGACUGAUGCUACGUUGCUGGAUAGUUAAAAAAUGAAAACAACAAAAGCAUGAGUGAUGUCAUAGCUGCAAAAGGAUACCUGUAGCUUUUGUUGGGUGAUGUUGUGUAGCUUGUGAGUUCUUGUUCUCUCUUGUAAGCAGCUCCUGAUUAUUGAGUAGUUCAUUGGGUGAUGUCUGCCCCAUGUUGUGCAUUUGUGCGGGUGAUGCCUGUCUCAUGUUCUGCAUUUGUGCGGGUGAUGCCUGCCCCAUGUUCUGCAUCUGUGCGGGUGAUGUCUGCCUCACGUUCUGCAUCUGGCAUAGCAGCCUACUAUGUGCAAAUCUUUUCUCAAUACUUUGUAGCACCAUAGCCAACGUUUGGGAUGGAUAUCGAAGAUUCCAGUUACUGCUUCUGGGCUCUGAUUUGGAUCCAUGCUGUGAUAUUGGCUGUGUGUGAUAUUGGAAUUGAGAUGAUUCAGGUUGCUUUUGGGUGUUAUGUUUAACAACCAUGGGACUAGCACAAUGCCUAGUAGCCUCUCCACUGGCUCCACUGUGAUCAGAUCCUGGGAAUCCAUUGCAUCUGUUUAUGCUCACACUUUUUGACUGGAAAUUUCUUGAGUCAUGUAUUGAAGCUGCAGUAGAGGAAGUACCACUUAUUUCAGAAUUGAACUUCAUUUUCUUGUUAAUCUCUGUACCUCCUAAACUAAGUGUGCUGCAAUGUCCCAUCUGGCUGAAUAUUCUCGGUUGAAAUGCAGAACUGGGGCGCUGAUCUCUACUGGCACCUAUUUUGUUGGGUGCACAUGCCCUGUCUUUCAAAAGCAGGGGCAUCCUUUCCAUUGCCAGCUGUCUUGGUUCGUCUCUCUUUAGUCUACUAUCAAAGACAACCUGGCCUACUUUGGCUUCAUCUAAUCGCCCUUGGUCAUACCCAAGCUGAAGGCUGUUUUGGUAUGGAUUAACAUUCCGCAUACUUAAACUCCUUGCGAUGGCAUUCAGUGCAUGAUUAUUUGCUGUAACAUGAUUUGCUGAAGAGAGUGGCAAUCCCAAAUCUUUUGGCUUUUCUGUCAGCAGUUUCUCUGCAAAUUCUGCUUUCCUAUUCUGAGCAGCUGAUAUUGCAGAACCUUCCAUGAUAGCCAAAGAUGACUCCAUGUCUUGAGAAUUCAAGUUCAAAUCAAAAAACACUUUUCUUUGUUGAUGUUUUUCUUCAUGGCUAAUAUUGGUACUUGCCAGUCUUUCAUCUUUUGUUAUGUCUUCCAAGUCAAAGUUUAGCACUUUCCGACAUGAUUUUGGUGUCUCUCCAGCAUCAGUCACUUUGUCCUUGUUAGCAACUUUGGUUUGUCCGGUAGUUGAAGCUUUGGGGCCCUUUCUGCGGACAUACUUCCUUUUUCCCGAUGGGUUCUCAUUCGGAGUGCUAUUUUUUGGGGCAGCGGAUUCAGCUACUUCGGUUUGUUCAGAUGUUGAAGCUUUGAGGCCGUCUUUGCGGACAUACUUCCUUUUUCCUGAUGGGGCCUCUUUUGGAGUACCAUCUCUUGGGGCAGCAGGCUUUGGAGUUCUUUUGGGUUUCCCUUCUAUUACUACCUUUGGCCGGUGUUUUCGCCUUUUGGGAGUUCUCGAUGCUGGUGUCCUGUUUAAGUCGAUGUCCACAUGACCAACAUUGUCUUUAUUGACCUUUUCAUUCGAUGAUGAUAUGACAACCAAUGAAUCUGUAACUCUCUGCGACAGUUUAUCAGAGUGGUCAUCUUUGGAUUGCAUUGACCCAAGAACAUUCUCCUGCUUAUCUUUCAAGCUUUCUUGUAUCGGAAAAUUUUGCCUCUCAAAAUGCUGGUUGUCCUUGAAGUGGUUCCUCUCUGGAGUUGCUGGUUCAAAUGUGGAGAAACUAUUUGUGCUUGGAAUUGUGCCAGCAUCUGGUGCCAAGGGUGAAAUCAAGGAUUUAUUGACCUGAUAAGGGCCUCGCACGCCAUCUGCAUUACAUAAAGGUUAAACUCACCAAGUGAUAGGCGCCGGUUGUUAAAACAGUCAAAUGUCUGAUUUGGACUUUUAAACACUUGAUUCUCGUUGAGCAGUGUUUGACUUAGAGACUCGAGUUGCUGUUCAUAUCUGCUGUC